AGAAUGAACGCUGGCGGCAUGCCUAACACAUGCAAGUCGAACGAACUACCUUCGGGUAGUUAGUGGCGCACGGGUGCGUAACGCGUGGGAAUCUGCCCUUGGGUUCGGAAUAACAGUGAGAAAUUACUGCUAAUACCGGAUAAUGUCGCAAGACCAAAGAUUUAUUGCCCAAGGAUGAGCCCGCGUAAGAUUAGCUAGUUGGUGGGGUAAAGGCCUACCAAGGCGACGAUCUUUAGCUGGUCUGAGAGGAUGAUCAGCCACACUGGGACUGAGACACGGCCCAGACUCCUACGGGAGGCAGCAGUGGGAAUAUUGGACAAUGGGCGAAAGCCUGAUCCAGCAAUGCCGCGUGAGUGAUGAAGGCCUUAGGUUGUAAGCUCUUUACCCAGGAAGAUAAUGACUGUACCGGGAGAAUAACGCCCCGGCUAACUCCGCGCCAGCAGCCGC
rnacentral:rRNA from 1 species